rfam:Capsicum annuum cultivar Zunla-1 chromosome 1, whole genome shotgun sequence
GACUGCUGAUGAUAUGGACAAUCCUAAAAAUGAGCUUUGAACCUCUCCCAUACAUCAUAUAAGUUCUCAUCUGGCUUCUGAUUGAAGCUCACAAUAUCACCAUGCAGUCU